UACGAAGGGGGCGAGCGUUGUUCGGAAUCACUGGGCGUAAAGGGCUCGUAGGCGGCCAACUAAGUCAGACGUGAAAUCCCUCGGCUUAACCGGGGAACUGCGUCUGAUACUGGUUGGCUUGAAUCCGGGAGAGGGAUGUGGAAUUCCAGGUGUAGCGGUGAAAUGCGUAGAUAUCUGGAGGAACACCGGUGGCGAAGGCGGCAUCCUGGACCGGUAUUGACGCUGAGGAGCGAAAGCCAGGGGAGCAAAGCGGG
rnacentral:rRNA from 1 species